AACAAAUUAAUAUAAUGGACCAGGUGAUGCUAAGUGCUCUAAAGGAAAAUGAAGCAGGGUAAGGUAAUAGCAUGUGAAAGGAGAGGAUGCUACUGGGUGGUUAGGGGAGGCCCAGAGUAGGCGAAGCAGGGGAAAUUCUCGGGGUUGCACAUAUCAGAAGUCACAGGUAAGUGGACUUCUGUGCAUGGAGGCUCUGCAACCAAGCAGCCUCCCUCCCUUGGUCAGUUCGUGCCAGAAUCAGGAUUCCUGGGCUGCCCUAGUCGCCUGUAGAGGACUUGAAUCAUAAUCUUCAGAAGCCAAGCGGGAGAGAAAAGGUCCCUGCCUCUGCAGUGCGAAGAGAGUCCAGGGUAAAGAAACUGAGGCACAGAAAAAUUAAGUUGCUUGCUCAAGCUCCCAGGGGAGAUCCAGGAUUGGACAGUCUGAUUCAGAAACUGUGCUCAUAAUCACCGUACUAUACUUUAUCUAGUUGACAAUAACCACAUUUGAUGAAUGUGGCAAAACCGCAGAACAGCAACUCAACAUUCUGCAGCCUUAGUCGCAGCCAGGCACCGUGGACCACAGCCAGGACGAGGGUGCUGCUGCCGCCGCCCCCAGGAGACCUGGGGAGCGUGGCCUUGUCUCCCAUAAGCAUUGCUUCUGAUUUACAGCCCUUAAAAGGCAGGAAACCCUCUAGAAUAAUGACUCAUUUUUAUUACACAUGGGCUUUCAGGGAAAUUUUAACAACCCCUAUUUCUCCUUUUUUAUACAGGUUACAUUUUUGGUCUAUUUUAAACAUCUUCAAAUCUGAUAAAUAUGGGUCCAUUCUCUAUAAGAUCUAGAAGUUGCCAUUUGAAGAGUAUUUUGCUGCAUCUUCCAGCUGUGAGCAUCAUACAUAGGGUAUAUGAUUGCAUGAAAAGAUACCUUCUUUUUUUUUUUUUUUUUUUUUUAGAUGGAGUCUCACUCUAUAACCCAGGCUGGAGUGCAGUGGUGAGAUCUCAGCUCAUUGUGGUCUCUGCCUCCUGGGUUCAAGCUAUCCUCCCACCUCAGCCUCCCGAAUAACUGGGAUUACAGGCAUGCACCACCCCACCCAGCUAAUUUUUGUAUUUUUAGUAGAGACGGGGUUUCACCCUGUUGGCCAGGCUGGUCUCAAACUCCUGACCUCAAGUGAUCCACCCACCUUAGCCUCCCAGAGUGCUGAGAUUACAGGUGUGAGCCACGGCCCCAGUGAAAAUGGAUCUUCACAUGCAAAGUUUCAAAUGGAAAGAAUAUUAGAAAUCACUUAGAUUGGGAGGCCGAGGCGGGCGGAUCACGAGGUUAGGAGAUUGAGACCAUCCUGCCUAACACGGUGAAACCCCGUCUCUACUAAAAAUACAAAAAAUUAGACAGGUGCGAUGGCCGGCGCCUGUAGUCCCAGCUACUCACGAGGCUGAGGCAGG
rnacentral:lncRNA from 1 species